CAAGAGCUCUCAACCCUGAGCCGCUGAGCCCUACUUUCUCUAGCGCCAGGAUCAUCUCCGGCGUCAGCCAUUAACGCAGCUCGAGCAGAGACAAUCUGGCUAGACGUAAAAGAAGCGUCGAAGGUAGAGAAAUCCAUCCACCCCACAAGCAAUCCUUCUUUACCCCAACUCUCCGGUAUUGGAACUUUUCCAGCAACUUCUUCUCUGUGUCUCUUCAGCCUCUCACGUCCAGACAACACCGGUGUUGUCUCCGGCUGGACCUUUAUAUUCCGGCGACUCGUAAUGCUCUCCGGAAAACAUGUUUUUGUGACCUCCUUGUUUUGUUUCCGGUGAGAAGAUCCCGGAGAGAUUGGUUCCUUGGACUCGUCAGGUAAAGGCGAGUGAGUGCUCUUCAUUUUACAAUUUUUCUUUGUUUCAGUGUGGAAUCUAUAAGAAGAGAUUUUACAGAGAAAUGUUAGAAAUGAAAAUAAAAGAAAAUAAUAAUAUACAAGGUUGAAAAGGAAGGAGAGAACGUGACAGAGAUUUGUGGUGGCGCUGUCUUGUUUUGUGAUCACAUAUAAUAAUACUAUUUCUGUUCUAUGUUCUUUGACGUUUCUACGUCUCAUGUGAUGUUCUCUUUUUUUCAUUUUUUACAUUUUAUUCUAUUAAAUUUAAAACUAAUAUACAAGAUGUAAGAGCAUUACAUCAUUUUUUUUUUUUUGAUAAAUAGAUCUUAUGCAUUAUUAGGUUUUACCUUUUUAUCCAAUAUACCUAUUUAAAAACCGUUAAAUCUUAGAUCUACAAAGGGUUAUAUAUUUUUAAAAUUUAUGUGUUUUGACGAUUGAAUAUAAUUUAAAUUUUAAUAUUUUGACCGCUAAAAUAUUUGAUGUAGCUUUAAAAUAUUAAAAUUUGUGAAUAUAUGAUUAAAAACAAAUCUAAUAAAGAGUAACUAGAGUUUAACCCGCACAUCGUGCAGGUAUAUUUUCAUUUUAUAAAUAUUUAAUUUUGAUAUUAUUAUAAAAAUUUAAAUAUACAAUUAUAUAUUAGUGUUAUGUAUUUUAUAACUCUUUAAUUUUUAUCCAAAAAAAAUAACUCUUUAAUUUUAUUUUUAGGUUUCUUAUUACUUUAUUAAUAUAGGGGUUUCUUUUAUUCAUUUUAUCUUUUCUAUUACGUUUUUGAGUUUUCAUGAUUUGAAAUAAUCAAAUACAAAAUAUUCUUCAACAUAUGAUUUUUGAAAAUAUAUAACUGUAGAAAUAAAAUUUUAACAUAUGUUAAUAACUUCAUUUGUAUAAAAAAAAUAUGAUAUGAUUAACAAAUUUGAACCCGUUUUACUGGUAGAUAAUAAUUUAUUUAAAUGAAAGCAUUAUGUUACUUAAUUACGAAAUUAAUUAAUAGAACAUUUAAUAAAAAUUAUUUAAAAAUUUAGUAGGAUUUUGUUAGAUUUUUCUCAAAAGAUUUUGUUAUAACUCAAAAAUAAAAUUCAAAUUUAUAGUUAAAAUUAAUUUAUUAUUAAUAUUCCUAUUAAUUAUUAUGUCAUAUUAUGUGUCAUAUGUGAUUAGUGAAAUGGUUAUAGUAGACUUCUAAAUAGUAGAUAAAAAUUGUACUUCUCGUUUAAUAGAGAAGAUUAGUUACACUGGCUAUGAUAUUUUGAAGAAGGCUUUUUAAAUUGAAUUUAAAAUCUUAAAAAUUAAACUUAAUCCCUUAUAGAUAUUAAAAUAAAACACCAAUCGAUAAUUUCAAAGAAAACUGAUAGACACUGCUGAGCAAUUAGGACUGAAGAUUGAACCUUCUAAAAAUAGUUUCACUUUCGUGGAUAGAUCCCGAGUAAACUCAGCAGGCAUGAUCAAGAAUGUUAAGGUGGAGAUAGGGGAAUACAUUAUCCCUGUGGAGUUUUAUGAUAUAGAUAUCAAAUCAGGCAAGGCAUCUCUACUUCUUUUUGGAAGAGCCUUCAUAGUUACAAUGGAGACAGUUUAUGAUCUUAAGAGAAAUAAGAUGUGUCUGACUAAUGUUGAUGAAAUUGUCUUCUAUGAUUCAAUGGACAAAGAAGAAAAGUGAGGAGCUUAUUUCAUGCAUAGAGAUGUUUAAAGAUCCAGAACCUACAGCUGAGACAAAUCACCAGCCUGAAAUACCAGAAUCAGCGUCGGUCGAUAUUAAAAUUGCAGCAUCGGUCGACUUCUAGUCCUCAGAAUCGAUCGACAAUCUGCCUUCUUCAUCGGACGACUUUCAGUCUUCAGAAUCGAUCGACGUGAAACCUUCAGCAUCGGUCGACACCCUCCGACUUUUAGAACAGCCCAAUACUGAAAAGUCUAAGUCUGGGGGAAUGACCACGAAUAGAACAAAGAAAAAGAAAAGGAAUGUAGAUGAAGAUUUCUUGCCACUAGUCCCUUUGCAAUGUCAAGAGGGAAGUCCUGAGUAUAGAAUGUGCUGCAGAGGAGGUUCUGAACCUUUUACCAAGGUUACAGUGCUAUGUGAUGCAGAGCUGAGAGAGAAGGGAGAAGUUUCUGCAAGAUCGUUUAUCAACUGCAUCAACAAGAUGAGAAAGAGAGACACUGAGACUUGUUCUGGAGCAAGUGCAAAUCCUCAUUUGUUGGGGUCGAAAAUGGUUACGACGAAAUUAAUGUCUGAACCUCCGCAAAAAUGAGCGUGAGCAUCAUUUUACGAAAGUUAUACUUCGUAAAAAAAUGUCAUUACAAAGAACUUUACAGUAAAAUCUUAUUCUAAUCUCGAUCGAACAAGGUACCGAUUGUCUCAAGGCAACGGACACGUAUCAAAAUCAGCCACGGACAAGCUCGAGUAUGGCAAUCGGACCAUAGACAAGCCAAGCUCGGUCGCUACGCAGCGACCAAGCAUGCACACGGCUCGAUCGCUACGUAGCGACCAAGCACGCGUAUCGCUCGGUCGCUACGUAGUAACCGAGCACGUGUACGGUUCGAUCGUUACGUAGCGAUCGAGCUCUCUUAAAAUGUCGAUACGACACGAGUCCAUGCAUUCUCGUCUACUCUUUAAUGCUAUCUCCCGAAAACCGUGGCUAAACCAUUUCAUGUUUUUCGUCACUCGGAGUCAUCAAUCAAACUUUACGAUAAAACCGCGGAAAGUUUGUUUUUAUCGAAGAAACCGUAAUAAACGUUUCGAGUCAAAGACGGCCCAAAGAGACCUAAGAUGUAACUCGAAGCCCACUUGCGAUUUCUUAAACCAAAAGCCCAUAAGCUGUAUGACGGUUUAUGCUUGGUUCGUAAGGAAAGAUAAAUGUCAAGUUUCCGCGGAUAAAUUUGUAGUUUUCGAAGAUAAUCACGAAGUUUGGGAAAAACAGAAUAUCUCCAUUUUUAAGCUAUGACGACUUAAGGGCAGAACGGGAAAGUGUAAACCGACCUAGGAGCGAGUAUAUAAGGAGUCCUAGGCGAGAGGCAAAAAAAGAGAACUUUUUUCACAGCAAACUUAGCACUUAUAGCAAUUAGGCAACUUUCCGUUUUUUUUAUUUCGAGCUGCGACUCAACUAGGUUUUCCAGUCUUAGGUUGUUAGAACUAGGGAUCUCGCCGAAAACGCUCAUAGCCGAGGCUUCUACCUUGUUGUAACGCUCAUACGCGAAUUCAGAAUAAGACACCUUUUGCUCUUUUUACGAUUUCUUAUUUUACUACUGUUCUCGUUUCGUGUUCUGAUUGCUUGGUGUGUGGGAUUAGCAGAUAUCCGGGACCUCUGGGAAACAAGGGUUCUCCUACUUUCCUAAUUUAAACAGAAAUCGACAGUGCGAAUUUCGGUUCCCACAGUUUGGCGCUAGAAGGAUGGGGGGGGUACGGAUCAAUCUAACUCUUAGCCAUAACACGCUCAACCAGACAUGCCAACUGACGACACAGACAACAUGCAAACUCCUCUCAACGGAGGAAGCGACACCAAUCUCCACACUCCAGUAGCGGAUGUCUCCGCGGUCAACGCACCAGCUAACACCGCAAUGCUCGAGGAGUUUAAAAAGAUUUUCGCCACCUAUGAAAAAAGGUCAGAAGAACAUGAUAAGCUUGUGAACACCUUGACCAAACAGGUCGAAACCUUAACACUAAGGACUCGAGCAAUCCGGGCCCGCGGAACCACGAAGGUUCGCGGGGAAAGACUCGACUUCGCAACCCCAUUCGACAUGCCUGGAACAUCGCGGGAACGACCUUGGGUCAAAACCCUAGCGAAACAUCCCCUGCCGAGAAAAAAGAACUCUAAGAGUCAUCCACCUCCCACAAAGGGCUCGGAGGUCAAUGAAGUCGAGCACAUCAACUUGGAUCCCAUCGACGUCUCCAACGAUACCGAGGAGGACACUGAUAGACAUCCGAGAAGAAUCAGAAGCGGAUCGGCUCGGGAGAGCUCCACGUUCGAUAAGCCAAUGAUGGAAGAGAAGGAAAACCUCUACUGGGUCGAACAGGAGGAGAUGGCCAAAAAACAAACCGAGAUCACUCGCAGCAAAUGCCGACAAGCUUGGAAAUCUGCUGACGAGACGUCGGACAUUCGCGACCUUCACGAUAACAUCACCAAAACUGCGGCGGAAAUAAGGGCCGUGAAAUUUCAGAUCCAUCACUCUACCAGUGCUGCCCCUGAGAUCGAUAAACUGCUCGAGGGGGCCCGGAAAACGACCUUCACCGCUCGCAUCUCCGAUACGAGGGUAUCUGACCCGGGAAAAAUCAAAGUACCAAAGUAUGAAGGUACGACUGAUCCUAAAGCGCACCUUCAGGCUUUCCACAUCACGAUGGGAAGGGCCAGACUGAAGGAUAGCGAAAAAGACGCCGGCUAUUCGUCGAGAAUCUGGAAGGAGCGGCGCUCGAAUGGUUCGCACGCCUUAAGCGAAACUGCAAUCAAUUAAUGGAACCCGAACUCUGCUGGAUUAGAUACUUAGGCGCAUACGAGAGUUGGUCUAGGAAUCUAGUUGAACUUAAUUGAUUAGGUCAUUAAUGCUUGUCUAAGGAAGCAUCGAUCGUCGCUUUGGCCAUAGCAUCGAUCGACGCUCGAUCCAAGUCAACAAGCAACAGCUGAGACUGGACUUAGACACCUGAUUAAUAAUUACAUGCGAAAGCUGGAUUACUUACUUAUUAAAAUCGAGUUCUAGAAUUAAAUCUAUAAACCAUUAGCAUCCUUAAAUUGUAGUUUUGAAUCUCUUGAUUGAUAAAUCUCUAGGUCUAGCUAUUUCUCUUAAUUGUUUACAACCUCAAUCAACCAAUCAAACAACUACUUUUUUCACCUUGAUUUCAUUUAUUUAUUGCUUUAUAAACUGUUUGCCUAGCUUAAUCUUGAUUUCUAUAGUCUAUUGUGUGCCUUAGCUCUCAGUGUAUUCGAUCCCUAAGUACUACAAUUGAACCUCUUAUUUGAAAGACUAAAAUCACUCCUUAGGAUAAUUUGAGUGGUAUCAGAAAACAAUAGAAUAAAGCUCAACAAUGGCUUAUAAAUAACAUAAAUAGGGUUUCUGGUCGUCCAAGGGUAUUCUGGUAAUUUGUGUUUGCUUCUGGCUUCAUUCGGUCAUAAAAUCUGCUUGGCCCAUAUUCUGGCAUCACCGUCGAUCGACACCAAGGCUGUGUCAUCGAUCGACGGUCAUUCAUCUCCUCGACAGCUUUCUCUCGCGAGGUAGACUAACCACUCUUCAGUAAACCGGGCAUAACUUCUGCUACAUGAUGCUGAUUGACCUCAAACUGGCGGAAUUGGAAAGUUAACUCAAAGCUAUAUCCUCUGGUGAAAGAUGGGCUCGAUCUAACGGUGGGAAGGCCUCCAUCCAUAGCUAAAAAAAGUAUUUUUUCAAAUUUUUUUUAGUUAGAGCACCAUUAACCCUUAAAGACAAGUUUGGGUUCUUAAUGAUUUUUAAUGAAUUAAUGAUGCUUAAGAGCUAGUAGUUAAGAGACACCUAUAUAUUUAGCUCCAAUGGUAAGUUUUUAAUUAGGGGUUCUUGAAAAAAAAAUGUUAAACUUAAAUUUUUGAAAGAUGAAAUUGAUACCUAUAUAUUUAGCUCCAAUGGCCAUGGACGCAAAGGAGUUUCUAUAUGAAUUGUGUUCUGACCUUGAUCGUUUCUUGCAGUGAAGAUAAUGAUUCCAGUCUCAUCACCAACAACACAUUCAGCAAUCCGCAUCUGACGAGCUUGAGGACCACUGGGACGACCUCCUCCUCAGCCUCUCUGCAUCACCAUCUUCGUGCUGAUGACUUUCACGUUAAGUCAGAGACCAUUGGUUCCUGGUCUCAGCUCACUGGCCUUGGUGAACACAGGUUUCCUCAAUGCAGGUGAUGCCCCAGUCAUUUCUACUACACACCCAUAAAAGAACUAAACUUUCUUAGAUCAGCACAGAGAAUAACUCAAUUCACAAGCAACAAACAACAACUUUCAAUCUGAUAAUCAGAUCAGCUUGAUCAGACGAGUUAUAGUGAUAAAGAAAAGAAAAAGACUUUAACCUCCGAGAUAACAAAAAGAUUUCAUUUUUCAAUCACAAUAGUAUGAUUCUAAAAACCAACAUCGUCACAAGAGCGAUGAUUAAAGCUAAUCAGAUUAAAAAUGUAAUCUUUUGACCACUGAGAUUUCAUGGAAUCUCGGAUCGAGCAGAUAAGAUUCACGAUAAGACAAUUUGAAUCGAAACAAAAGAGAACUCACUUUUACGUUUUCGUUCGGGCAGAAGAGACGAUUCGAGGAGAACCAACAAGAUUGAAAGAAAAACAACCGAUCAGACAGAUUCGAGGAGAAGAUGCAUAAUCUAAGACAUGCAUAAUCAAGAACACAACAAUCGCUUACCUUCGAUUUCAGAAGAUAAACCGACAGAGAGCUCCAUCGCCUCGGAGAGAACUACCGAGAGAGAGGUCGCCGAAUAAAGCCACCGGAGGAGAUGUCGUCGACGCGAACCACCGGAUCGCCGACGAGAGCCACCGAAGGAGACGUUGAAAUCGCCUUGGCCGAGAGAGGUUUCGAGAGAGAAAGAGAGAGAGAGAGAAAGAGAGAGAGAGAGAGAGAGAGAUCUCAUCUUGUGACACCUGGCGAGCAAGAGGCGGCCCUUCCCUCUUUUCCCUAAGAGGUGCCUCUUUGCCUUUUUCAAUUUUUUAUUUUUUAUUUUUGGUUAAGAGUUACGCUAAGAGGUAGCGUUGAGUAUGCUCUUAGAUAGUAUGCAAUUUUCCUUAAUAAUCCAUGUCUUUCAAGGUUCGAUCGAUCGUAGACAAUAUUCAUUUGAACCGCGUCUACUAGUUAAAACUAUAUGAAACAACAACACAUACAUUGUCUCACCUGCAAUUCCCCAAAUAAAUCAUUUAAUUUACUAAUUGAAACUUUGAAUAGUUGUAUUAAUUUUCAGUUUCCAAAAUCAAUAUGAAGACAUGUAUCUAACAACAUUCAACAUCACGGUAAGAAUUAUUUCCUUACAUAUUUCUCUAAGAAUUGAAAUUAACAAGAGCUCUCAACCCUGAGCCGCUGAGCCCUACUUUCUCUAGCGCCAGGAUCAUCUCCGGCGUCAGCCAUUAACGCAGCUCGAGCAGAGACAAUCUGGCUAGACGUAAAAGAAGCGUCGAAGGUAGAGAAAUCCAUCCACCCCACAAGCAAUCCUUCUUUACCCCAACUCUCCGGUAUUGGAACUUUUCCAGCAACUUCUUCUCUGUGUCUCUUCAGCCUCUCACGUCCAGACAACACCGGUG
rnacentral:lncRNA from 1 species